GUUCCGCGUUAACACUCGUCCUUGGCGGAUGUGUUCUUUCUAGGUACGCUUCGAAAAUAAGAAAUCUUUGCUCAUUACUGGACUUUCUCGGUUCGUCCAAUGUUUAACAGCAAACCGUAAUAAAGUGCGAGGACAUUCGAUUGGUUCGUGGUUUCAUUUGCCGUGCCUAUUUCCCGAUGGCGACCGUGAUUGUGAUAAAUUGUGUAGCAUUGUUGCAAAGUUUCCGGUAAUGGAUGAGUAUGGCGAUUUUUGGAGAUAUUUCUCCAACGCUUCCGAAUAUGGAAUACGUGUUGAAAAUGUUGAAGUUCGUAGCGGGUGCGAAGCGGUAUUUUUUCUGAAAGCACGAAAGGAUAUGCUGUGUUAUUGGUGUCAAGAAUAAAGAAUGAGAGUAAUUUGUAAUAAAUUAAAUGUUGGCUUGGGUGCAGAAGUUUAAUUUGGGCUUUUCCAUUGAAGUGAUAGUAGGAUUGAAAACUAGAUUCGUCUUCUUUCUAAUAAAGGUGUUUUAAUAUGUUCUGGUGAUGUGUUGGAUUCAAUUCUAAUUCAAUAGACGUAACAAAAUUCACAAAUGGUGUAGUUUUCUGGCACGUGAAGUUUUCCGGUGAAGUUAUCUGGCAGACAGAACAAAUUGGCGGCACUAACUAGGAUUGUACAGUAAAAUAGAGUCAAGGCAUCAAUCGACUAAGAAAAGGAAAAGGAUGAUAUCAUCACCGUGCGACGUCAAUCAUGCUGUGUCCAUUUACUUCGGUGUGCAAACCGGAAGAAUCUACAAACCCUAAAAAAGUGAUAGAUAAAACCAUCACGUAUAUCAAUAGCGAAAUUAUGUUGACAGACUACCAUUAGAGAAAGAUAGCAAUACGAUAUAGUGUACCAUUCCAUUCCACGGCAAAAAUGGAAAUCGUGUUAUCCCGAGUGAAUCUUAGCUUGGAUAAUGUGACGCUUGCCACCACAUUUCGACAAGGUUUAAUCGAGCAGUUUACCCAUAACCGUAAAGUAGACGAACCAGCAUUUCAUAUACUGAUUGUAAUGUACAGCAUACUAAUCGUGUUUGGUGCCACCGGCAACAGCCUGGUAGUAAUGGCCGUGGUUCGAAAACCCCAAAUGCGGACAGCACGCAACAUGUUUAUCGUCAAUCUGGCAAUUUCUGAUUUGCUGCUCUGCCUGGUAACGAUGCCACUGACGCUGGUGGAAAUUCUGACCAAGUAUUGGCCAAUGGGUCCGCUGCCGUUUCUGUGCAAGUCGAUAGGCACCCUGCAGGCCACCAGCAUUUUCGUGUCCACUAUUUCUAUCACAGCAAUUGCGUUGGAUAGGUAUCAGGUAAUCGUCUAUCCUACGCGCGACAGCCUGCAGGUGAUGGGUGCCAUUGUGAUACUAACCGGCAUCUGGAUCAUCUCACUGAUCCUUGCAUCACCGAUGUUCAUCAUCCGGCAGCUUAUACAUUACGAUGUGCACCUGCUUAGCCUCGGGAUUGAUUACAUCUCGUACUGUGUCGAGGAGUGGCCGAUAGCCCACGGUAGGGUAUAUUACUCGGUAUUCACACUGUGCGUCCAGUAUCUGCUGCCAAUUUUAACGGUCUCGGUGGCUUACCUACGAAUAUAUUUUAAGCUAAAGCACCGACUAGUAGUGACGACGACAAGCAUCACCACUAGUGCGACAUCGAAUGAAGGCAAACCGUUGCGAGAGCGAGAACGAGGUCGACGGAUGCAACGUACGAACUAUCUGCUGAUAAGUAUAGCCUUAAUUUUUGGAAUCUCAUGGCUUCCACUGAACCUUUUCAACCUAAUUGCCGACCUGUAUUUGGACGGGAUCACACAGGAGAUCAUGGUCGGGUAUGCGGUUUGUCACAUGAUGGGUAUGAGCUCGGCUUGCUCUAAUCCCCUACUUUACGGUUGGUUGAAUGAUAACUUUCGGAAAGAAUUCAACGAACUGCUGUGCAGAAAGGAUACGCAUAUGGUUUCUGCGAAUGGAGGAGGAAAAUCUAUCUCGCGAAAAAAUCGAACUUCGGUAGCUGCUCCGGAAGUAACGCAGGUGGGAGACAAAUAUCGAACAAAUAGUGACCAAACCGAGCUUACCGAGCUUAUGCCGUAAAUCGAAGCAUGUUUUGUACCCAUUGUUGACACAGAAACCGCAACCGUUAAUCCAAACAUCCGCUGCAUCCCACGUGAGGUGUGCAAUGCUAACAGUUACUUGUUAUACAUCAGGAACACACAAACACAUACAUGUAGUUGAUCCGCAUUUAGUUAAUUUACACAUUUCCAACACAGGAACUUGAAUCCAUUUUGGGAGAAACGAAUCGGCAGCAUGGACCAGCAGGACUGCAUGAAUUUGUGUAGUGUGGAGAAUAGCGUGUGAGAAUAACACAUUUUUGAGGUCAAAAUAGUUGUAUCCCUUCGAUGUGUGCACAGUAUUUUUACCAGUCACCGUAUUUGGCAUUUGAAGCAAAUCAAAAUGAAAACCAACAUUCAUAAUAAUACAACAACGGUAGGUGUUUUGCUACUACCGGACGAAACCAACGAGAAAGGCUUUUGCGCUUCCAUUGUAAAUAUAAAAAUGUUUUGUGCGACGUUAGACUAAGUGAAGGCGUUUAAAAAAAACCCCAAAGCGCCUAUAGAUAGUCCCAUGAAGAAGUGACAGCUUAAUUCCUAGUACCAUGAAACGCAACGUUGGCCACUGUCAGUAGCCUAAGUAAAACUGUAUAUAUAGCAGAAUGGAAUGGGCAAGGCAGUUUGACUGGCAUCGUUUAGUAUAGAGGAUGUAAAUACGAUAUUCCAAUAUAUGAAAACUUUUGAAUGGAUGUGGCAAAUUGAGAAGGAGAUUUAUUUGUGAGAUUUACUAGCGUGAAUUUUCGAUUGUCCGUGAUCGACUUAGCCUCUAUGAAUAAAAUAAUCGAAUUCUAUAUCAUUUAUAGGUUAACAUAAUUGAAUACAAUUCUACAAACUGCUUGUUGAUUGUUUGUAAGUCGGUUUCGGAAUAAAUAAAUGUUUUCUUCCACUAUUUGACGAAGAGAAUUCAAGCAUUUAUCAGGUAACAUAUUAUUAUAGGUGAAAUGGAUUUAAUCCAGAACUGAAUAAGUAGAACAAUUUGGCUGGUUCAAAAACAAUUGCCCAUUCGAGCCCGACAAUGAAAUUAUUCCAAUUAAUUGCUGCAGUGAACAAACAGCGUUAAUAGAAAGAGAGCGCUUUUCAUAGAUUUUGAGUGAAACAAUAUUGCAUCAAUUAAAAAUUAAUUAGAAUAAAUUCACAGUUCUGCAAUUGAUAAAACUCGAAACAGUAAAUUUUUCUACUUGUCCUUUUUAUUAAAAAAUAACAGGCGUAAAAAAGGUUUGUUAACGGGGUUUCAAAGUUUUACGACCAAUUAUAUGAAAUGUAAUUCAGUGAGAAAUGCAAUUUAAAAAAUAAACUCUGUAAAAUUUUCUGCAUAGUCCUUACCAAAACAGCGGUGAAUUUUAAUUUACUGUUUGUAUAUUUAGUCAUAUCGGGGAUAAAUAAAGCAUUUUUAUACAAA